rnacentral:rRNA from 1 species
UACGGAGGGAGCUAGCGUUAUUCGGAAUUACUGGGCGUAAAGGGCUCGUAGGCGGCCAACUAAGUCGGACGUGAAAUCCCUCAGCUUAACUGGGGAACUGCGUCUGAUACUGGAUGGCUUGGAUUUGGGAGAGGGAUGCGGAAUUCCAGGUGUAGCGGUGAAAUGCGUAGAUAUCUGGAGGAACACCGGUGGCGAAGGCGGCAUCCUGGACCAACAUUGACGCUGAGGAGCGAAAGCCAGGGGAGCAAACGGG